rnacentral:lncRNA from 1 species
CUCCUGUUUAUGCCAUGGGCAAUGCAGUGGUGCAGGUAAGAGUCACAGAUAGAUAGAAAAAAUAGGAAAAAUCAGUUGUCUAAUGGAAAGGAAAGAUGGGCAGUGACUAGAGGUCAUUAGUUGAGGGUCUGAGAUUUAGUGUCAUGUCUAUAUCACAAAUACACUGCAUGGUUUCCUUGGCAAAUCCCUUUAGCAUCUUGUGUCUCAGUUUUCCUAACUGAUUAGGAGAAGUAGUUACCAUUGUUAAGAAUGUCAUGACAGUAAAGAUAUUGGAAGUAUGAGAGGUUCCUACUGUGAUGAAGAUCAGAUGUAGACCUAAUUACAAUUCCGUGCAGGCUGUGACUGGUACCAUUGACUGUAAAUGCAGCUGUAAACUUCAGAAGAGGAAAUCCUUGUGACUUCUGCUGUUUCAGGUUCAUUUAUAUUUUAUGUGUAUCCACAAUUCCACAAAUUUCCUAAUAGCUUAGACUUCGGUUUCUGUAGUUAGACUACUCUGCAACAAAGAAAGGGUUUGUCUCUGCAAAUGGUGGGGAGAAGAUGGUAGAGACUCAUUAGGUAAGAAAACUGGACUUAAAGACCUCUACCAGGUCCUAAUGAAAGGAGAUGGAUCAAACAGUGAGAACUCAAAACAGCAUUAAGGGAAUAGUUCCCACAAGACAGGAGAAAUAAACAGGGAGCAACAAAUUUUUUGGCACCAUGUGUAGUUCCCUAAGUGCUGAAGGGUAGAGCCAUCUCAGAAGUGAGUAUGAACACUCCUCCACCUACUUCCUUUUCACAUAGGAGCUUCUCAGACAACCUGAGAAUGCAUUGCCUACUUCUAUAUUUGAGCAUGCUAACUGGUAUGCUGGUCUGUUUACUGUCAUAGUACUGACAUAAUGAGAAUGGGUAUUUGACCUCAGAGGAUAUCUUGUGUUGCAGAGAUGGGAUCACUGUUCGUCACCUACAAUGAUCUUCAGGGUACCUGUGGAAUGCCUCUCAAAAUGUUUUGAAGAGUACAUCAAUCAGAACAGAGUAAGACUCAACUCAAGCAUUUUUAGAUGUAAUUUACAUUCAGAAUGUGGAAGACUGAUGCAUUUCUAGUCUUGGAAGAAAUGAUGAAAAACCAAAAAGUAAAGGGAAUGUGGUAAGCAUGAAUCUUUCUGUUCAAAAGACUCUCUUUAGUCAUCAGAAUGUUUGACAACAAGUGAGAAAAUUAGUGACAUUUUGACUGGGAGUUUGGUAAAACCUACCUAGGAGGCAGACUUGUUUUCUGGGAAUAGUCAGCUUUCCUCUUAAUUUGUGAUGAUUCGUGUAUAUGAGCUCUCCUUAACAAGCUGAAGAUAUGCCUCAGCUAAAAAAUGAUUUUUAGCUUCGGCCUUUGCAUGUCUUUUCAGCAUUACUGCAUGGAGCAGCCUUCAAUGGCCAAUGCCUCUGAGCUGGUGAACUACUUUCCAUUCCUUUUUAUGAACAUACAAGCUGCCAAGCCAGCUUAGUUUAGUAGUCCAUU